rnacentral:lncRNA from 1 species
GCGCUAACUUGUUGCUUUUAGCAUCACCAAGAAUCGUAAAUUGGAGCUGGUCCCAAAAAAUUGUCCCGGGUACUCUACUUUUGCACAGGACCAAAAAGAAAAAAAUAUAUAUAAAAUUCAAAGAAUUCGGGUGUCGUCACACGUGAUAUCAGAUUAGCAGAGAAAAGAUCUUUAAAAAGGGAAAGUAGUUAGGAAUGGUGACUAUAUAAGCAUGUGUCGAGUACAAAUAUUUAUUCAGAUAAGUUGCAUUAUUCAAGAAGUUCGAAGAGAGACUUUUAGGAGAUACGUGACUGUAAUUGGAGGCAGAUACUGCAACAGAAACUAUUUCGAUUUCAUAGCAUAGAACGUGCCACCCAUGAUACUGGCCUGCAAUAUGCAAUAAAUUUCCAUGUUCAGAACAACUGAAUAAUUUAUGAGAACUUCAUGAAAUUAAUUGAGCACUUAGAUAAAAAUGCUAUUGAUACGAAAAUUGUGAAUCAGAAUCAUUACUCAAGCUUUGGUUUCAUUUCGCAAGAAUAUCUUAUUGCUCUCUACAAGCUAAUGUCCAUGCAUGUCAGUAUGCUGUAUCAGACAAGAUUAGGAGUCUGUUUGGGAGUGAUUUUGAGAAUUGAUUUUUUGACCGUUAGGAGAAAAGUGGGGCCUAC